rnacentral:miRNA from 1 species
CGGCCGUUCAUUGGGUCAUCUAGC